GAUGAACGCUGGCGGCGUGCCUAAUACAUGCAAGUCGAGCGAACGGACGAGAAGCUUGCUUCUCUGAUGUUAGCGGCGGACGGGCGAGUAACACGUGGAUAACCUACCUAUAAGACUGGGAUAACUUCGGGAAACCGGAGCUAAUACCGGAUGAUAUUUUGAACCGCAUGGUUCAAAAGUGAAAGACGGUCUUGCUGUCACUUAUAGAUGGAUCCGCGCUGCAUUAGCUAGUUGGUAAGGUAACGGCUUACCAAGGCAACGAUGCAUAGCCGACCUGAGAGGGUGAUCGGCCACACUGGAACUGAGACACGGUCCAGACUCCUACGGGAGGCAGCAGUAGGGAAUCUUCCGCAAUGGGCGAAAGCCUGACGGAGCAACGCCGCGUGAGUGAUGAAGGUCUUCGGAUCGUAAAACUCUGUUAUUAGGGAAGAACAUAUGUGUAAGUAACUGUGAACAUCUUGACGGUACCUAAUCAGAAAGCCACGGCUAACUACGUG
rnacentral:rRNA from 1 species